GGUCUAACACUAGUGGUGGAGCAUGUGGUUUAAUGCGAUAAUCCGCGCAAAACCUUACCAGUUCUUGACAUAUCUUAAUGAUUAUUUUUAAUUCACGAGGAAAUUUAAAAUAACAUUUUUUUACAGGUGUUGCACGUCUGUCGUCAGCUCGUGUCGUGAGAUGUUUGGUUAAGUCCUGAAACGGGCGCAACUCUUACUUUUAAAUAAAGUAUUACGUGCUAAAAAGUUUUAUUUUAAAACUUUUUAAAUGCUUAAAGUACUGUCAAUGAUAAAUUGAAGGAAGGUAAGAAUGAAGUCAAGUCAAUGUGACCCUAAUGAACUGGGCUACACAUGUGCUACAAUGAAAAUUACAAAAAGUGACAAAAAGAAAUUUUAAGUUAAUCAACAAAGAUUUUCCCAGUUCGAAUUGUAGACUGCAACUCGUCUACAUGAAGUUGGAAUCACUAGUAAUCG
rnacentral:rRNA from 1 species